AGUGCUUGGGAUUCCAUGUGUUUUUGCUGAACUUGUAAAGGCGACACCUGGAUGGUGGAUUAACAAGAACACUGACCUGUGGGCAGCCUCAGCUGAGAACAUUGGAUUUUUCACCCUAGUCCAGCAGCUCUGCUGCUCACAUAGAUGCAGAUGAAUGAAGACCCCAUUCGGGAAGACACCUGGCCAGCGGUCCAGAGCUGAUGCAGGCCAUGCUGGAGUCUCUGCAAACAUGAUGAAGAAGAGGACAUCUCACAAAAAACAUCGGACCAGUGUGGGACCAAGCAAACCUGUGUCCCAGCCCCGGCGGAACAUCGUAGGCUGCAGGAUCCAGCAUGGGUGGAGAGAGGGCAACGGCCCUGUCACCCAGUGGAAGGGGACUGUCCUGGACCAGGUGCCUGUGAACCCUUCCCUGUAUCUCAUAAAGUACGAUGGAUUUGACUGUGUCUAUGGACUAGAGCUGAACAAGGAUGACAGAGUCUCUGCACUUGAAGUCCUCCCUGACAGAGUUGAUGAUUCGCCUCCAGCAGAAAGGGAGCCAGGAGA
rnacentral:lncRNA from 1 species